UGCAAUUUUCAGUCUAGAUUAUUCAAGCCUCAAAGCUAGAAUUAGAUUCGAGUGGUAGAGUGGUAACAUGUGUCACCACAUAUCCAAGCUUGGGUACACGGGCUUGACCCAACCCCUUGGGCGGAUGGUGGCAUAUGGCGAACCAGGAGGGG
rnacentral:ribozyme from 1 species